AAGCGCUUGAAGUCAGCCAUGCUGCGCGGACUCAGCCCGGCUGGAUGCCUGGUGUAUUUCUCAGUAGCAAGUCAGCAUGGAUUUGAGUCGCCGGAGAAGGGUAGGAGGAAUGUAGCACCCACGGGUGUGUUAAGCCUCCUACUGGAUACGGCGAUUUGGAUCCAGGAACGCAGUGUGCCUCUGGCGGGUCUUCGGACACCUUCACACUUAGGAUGCUGGCGUAAUGGCUUUAAGCGG
rnacentral:rRNA from 1 species